GACGAACGCUGGCGGCGUGCUUAACACAUGCAAGUCGAACGGAAAGGCCCUGCUUUUGUGGGUUGCUCGAGUGGCGAACGGGUGAGUAACACGUGAGUAACCUGCCCUUGACUUUGGGAUAACUUCAGGAAACUGGGGCUAAUACCGGAUAGGAGCUCCUGCUGCAUGGUGGGGGUUGGAAAGUUUCGGCGGUUGGGGAUGGACUCGCGGCUUAUCAGCUUGUUGGUGGGGUAGUGGCUUACCAAGGCUUUGACGGGUAGCCGGCCUGAGAGGGUGACCGGCGACAUUGGGACCGAGAUACGGCCCAGACUCCUACGGGAGGCAGCAGUGGGGAAUAUUGCACAAUGGGCGGACGCCUGAUGCAGCAACGCCGCGUGCGUGAUGACGGCCUUCGGGUUGUAAACCGCUUUCGCCUGUGACGAAGCGUGAGUGACGGUAAUGGGUAAAGAAGCACCGGCUAACUACGUG
rnacentral:rRNA from 1 species